rnacentral:rRNA from 1 species
UGGGGGAUAUUGCACAAUGGGCGAAAGCCUGAUGCAGCGACGCCGCGUGGGGGAUGAAGGCUUUCGGGUUGUAAACCUCUUUCGCUAUCGAACAGGCCCGCUUAGGGUGGGUUGAGGGUAGGUGGAGAAGAAGCGCCGGCUAACUACGUGCCAGCAGCCGCGGUAAUACGUAGGGCGCGAGCGUUGUCCGGAAUUAUUGGGCGUAAAGGGCUUGUAGGCGGCUUGUUGCGCCUGCUGUGAAAACGCGGGGCUUAACUUCGCGCGUGCAGUGGGUACGGGCAGGCUUGAGUGUGGUAGGGGUGACUGGAAUUCCAGGUGUAGCGGUGGAAUGCGCAGAUAUCUGGAGGAACACCGAUGGCGAAGGCAGGUCACUGGGCCAUUACUGACGCUGAGGAGCGAAAGCAUGGGUAGCGAACAGG